rnacentral:rRNA from 1 species
AAGGAUCAUUAAAGAUUAUGAAUGAAUAGAUUACUGGGGGAAUCGUCUGAACAAGGCCUGCGCUUAAUUGCGCGGCCAGUUCUUGAUUCUCUGCUAUCAGUUUUCUAUUUCUCAUCCUAAACACAAUGGAGUUUUUUCUCUAUGAACUACUUCCCUGGAGAGCUCGUCUCUCCAGUGGACAUAAACACAAACAAUAUUUUGUAUUAUGAAAAACUAUUAUACUAUAAAAUUUAAUAUUCAAAACUUUCAACAACGGAUCUCUUGGUUCUCGCAUCGAUGAAGAACGCAGCGAAUUGCGAUAUGUAUUGUGAAUUGCAGAUUUUCGUGAAUCAUCAAAUCUUUGAACGCACAUUGCGCCCUCUGGUAUUCCAGGGGGCAUGCCUGUUUGAGCGUCAUUUCUCUCUCAAACCUUUGGGUUUGGUAGUGAGUGAUACUCGUCUCGGGUUAACUUGAAAGUGGCUAGCCGUUGCCAUCUGCGUGAGCAGGGCUGCGUGUCAAGUCUAUGGACUCGACUCUUGCACAUCUACGUCUUAGGUUUGCGCCAAUUCGUGGUAAGCUUGGGUCAUAGAGACUCAUAGGUGUUAUAAAGACUCGCUGGUGUUUGUCUCCUUGAGGCAUACGGCUUUAACCAAAACUCUCAAAGUUUGACCUCAAAUCAGGUAGGAGUACCCGCUGAACUUAAGCA